rnacentral:rRNA from 1 species
GGGAAUAACCCGGAGAAAUCCGGACUAAUACCACACGGCACUUUCGGGAGGCAUCUCCUGAGGGUUAAAGGAGCGAUCCGGCCGGGGAUGGGCAUGCGGCGCAUUAGCUAGUCGGCGGGGUAACGGCCCACCGAGGCGACGAUGCGUAGGGGUUCUGAGAGGAAGGUCCCCCACACUGGUACUGAGACACGGACCAGACUCCUACGGGAGGCAGCAGUGAGGAAUAUUGGUCAAUGGGCGGGAGCCUGAACCAGCCAAGUCGCGUGAGGGACGACGGUCCUAUGGAUUGUAAACCUCUUUUGUCGGGGAACAAAGGUGCCCACGGGUGGGCGGAUGAGUGUACCCGAAGAAAAAGCAUCGGCUAACUCCGUGCCAGCAGCCGCGGUAAUACGGAGGAUGCGAGCGUUAUCCGGAUUUAUUGGGUUUAAAGGGUGCGUAGGCGGACAGUCAAGUCAGCGGUAAAAAUGCGGUGCUCAACGCCGUACAGCCGUUGAAACUGGCAGUCUUGAGUGGGCGAGAAGUAUGCGGAAUGCGUGGUGUAGCGGUGAAAUGCAUAGAUAUCACGCAGAACUCCGAUUGCGAAGGCAGCAUACCGGCGCCCUACUGACGCUGAGGCACGAAAGCGUGGGUAUCGAACAGGAUUAGAUACCCUGGUAGUCCACGCAGUAAACGAUGAAAAGUAAUUGUCCGGGGCUUCGGUUCUGGGUGAUACAG